GAAAUAGCUUGACAGUGGUCAUUUCGUGGAUAGCUUCACGAUCGCGCGACGAACCAUCACGGGUGACUUCUGACACGAUCGCAGAUAGCGCACCCCUUACAGCUCAAAUUGCAGAAAUAAAGCUGCAAAGUGAAUGCAAAUGGCAUUCUGCAAUUGACAAUGGCACUUUGAUUUACCGAAACAGGGGUUGGUGUUGUGCUGUUGCGGUUUCGCUGCAAAGUACCGGUUGCGACGAAGAGCACGACAAGAUGCAAAAACACGAUGCAAAAAGCGACGGCAGCGAGCAUGGAGCUCCUCCAACGUCCUGACGCAAAGUGGCCAUUUGCAGUCAUUUUUUGCGCUAAAAAGUUUGUCAAAAUCGGACCAGACAGAGGGCCAACCUCUCGCUCUUUGAUUUCGGCCGGGCCGCCGAGCGAAGAAGCGAGAGAAGACGAGGAAAGCGGUUUUGAAGUCGAGAAGGGGGAUCGGGGAGCUCUCGAAAUCAGAGGUCAGAGUCGACGGUCGGCGAUGGUGGGGUGCGCAUGAUGGACAAGCAGAGGUACAAAGUGGAUGACCUGUGGUUGGGCUGGCCAAUCAGAAAUCCGCACUCCCUGCAAGUUUUUUGUUGCAUCUGAUUUAAUUCGUCGCCCAAAGCGGAAAAGCGUCAAAACGGUGUGGCGGCCAGCAAAAGGGCAGAAUGGCACCCCAAUGCAAAGUGCCAGCCAGCGUCGUAGUCAUCGAGAACCCAAGAGACAUGCAGUUUGAAGAAAUGUGCCACGCCAGCGCUGUUCCAAACGUCGUCAUGGGCCCCCCCUACCCUCUGUGAUCGGAUCUGCUUCAAUCCCUUUUUUCGUCGAGUGUGAUGGUGUAGUGCCGGCCAUGUGGUGUCUGGUGAAAUGAGGAGAAAGAGUGCGCCAGCGCCAGGCUGCGAGGUGUCGCAAGCUGGGGGGUGAAUCCGUCC